GAAUAUUGGACAAUGGGCGCAAGCCUGAUCCAGCCAUGCCGCGUGGGUGAUGAAGGCCCUAGGGUUGUAAAGCCCUUUCGGCGGGGAAGAUAAUGACGGGACCCGCAGAAGAAGCCCCGGCGAACUUCGUGCCAGCAGCCGCGGUAAUACGAAGGGGGCUAGCGUUGCUCGGAACUACUGGGCGUAAAGCGCACGUAGGCGGAUUGUUAAGUCAGGGGUGAAAUCCCGGAGCUCAACUCCGGAACUGCCUUUGAUACUGGCGAUCUUGAGUUCGGGAGAGGUGAGUGGAACUGCGAGUGUAGAGGUGAAAUUCGUAGAUAUUCACAAGAACACCAGUGGCGAAGGCGGCUCACUGGCCCGAAACUGACGCUGAGGUGCGAAAGCGUGGGGAGCAAACAGG
rnacentral:rRNA from 1 species